rnacentral:rRNA from 1 species
GGAAGCUUGCUUCUCUGCUGACGAGUGGCGGACGGGUGAGUAAUGUCUGGGAAGCUGCCUGCUUGAGGGGGAUAGCGGAGCGAAAGUUCCGAUAAUACCGCGUAAGCCCGAGAGGGGAAAGUGCGGGACCGCAAGGCCGCACGCGAGCAGAUGCGCCCAGAUGGGAUUAGGCAGUUGGGGAGGUAAUGGCUCACCAAACCGAUGAUCUCUAGCUGGUUUGAGAGGACAAUCAGCCACAUUGGAAUUGAGAAACGGACCAAACUCCUACGGGAGGCAGCAGUGGGGAAUAUUGCACAAUGGGGGAAACCCUGAUGCAGCCAUGCCGCGUGUGUGAAGAAGGCCUUCGGGUUGUAAAGCACUUUUGCAUUCGAGGAAGACAGCACGUAAAUAAACGUGUUAUUUGACGUUAGAGUGUGAAUAAGCACCGGCAAACUCCGUGCCAGCAGCCGCGGUAAUACGGAGGGUGCGAGCGUUAAUCGGAAUGACUGGGCGUAAAGGGCACGCAGGUGGCGAGAUAAGUUGGAUGUGAAAUUCCCGUGCUUAACAUGGGGACUGCAUCCAAAACUGUUGAACUGGAGUACUGUAGAGGGAGGUAGAAUUCCACGUGUAGCGGUGAAAUGCGUAGAGAUGUGGAAGA